rnacentral:tRNA from 1 species
GCCCUAGUAGCUUAACGGAUAAAGUAGCGGUCUUCUAAACCGUCGAUGCAGGUUCGAUUCCUGCCUAGGGUA